rnacentral:rRNA from 1 species
UACUAGAGUAGCACUCGCAUAUCAAUAAGCGGAGGAAAGAGGUACCUACGCUUAGGAUGUUGACGAGACUGUCGAUCUCAUCUAUACAUGACUCUGCGCAUAUCAAUAAGCGGAGGAAAAGGUACCUACGCUUAGGAUGUUGACACGCGCGUGCUUGACUCUAUACACGACUCUGUGCAUAUCAAUAAGCGGAGGAAAAGGCUGCUGAACUGAACGACCGCUACCUACGCUUAGGAUGUUGACACACGCGCGUGCUCGCGUCUAUACAUGACUCUGUGCAUAUCAAUAAGCGGAGGAAAAGAAACUAACAAGGAUUCCCCUAGUAACGGCGAGUGAAGCGGGAAGAGCUCAAAUUUGAAAUCUUAAAGGGUUUCCCUUUACGAAUUGUAGUUUAAAGAAGUGUUUUCUGUUGAGGUUUUGGUAAAAGUUCUUUGGAAUAGGACAUCAUAGAGGGUGAGAAUCCCGUAUUUGACCUUUACUUUCAACUUUGUGAUACACUUUCAAAGAGUCGGAUUGUUUGGGAAUGCAGUCCAAAAUGGGUGGUAAAUUUCAUCUAAAGCUAAAUAUUGGCGAGAGACCGAUAGCGAACAAGUACCGUGAGGGAAAGAUGAAAAGAACUUUGAAAAGAGAGUUAAACAGUACGUGAAAUUGUCAAAAGGGAAGCGUUUGACACCAGUGUUGUUUUUCUGAAAAUCAAUUAAAGAACUGUUUAUGCUAAGUUGUUUAGACUUUAUCAGCUAACUGUUUAGUUUUGAGCUUUUCUUUAAUGCACUUUUCAGUUAACAAGUCAACAUCAAUUUCUUUUGCUGUAAAAAAGCUUGAGGAAGGUGGCUUGAGAUUCGUCUUAAGUGUUUAUAGCCUCUUGCCUAUGCAGUCGGAGAGAUUGAGGUCUGCAGCGUAGAUCCUUCGGGGCUAAAUGCAUUUGUGCUAAGUUAUAGCAUUUCAUAGACAACUUGUUGACUAUGAUUUGUCUUGUAGCUUACUCGCUUAUGUUAUUUUACCUACGCUUAGGAUGUUGAGUCAUCACACAUCUCU